CUUCAUGUUUCUCCGAAAUGGCCAUAGUCAGAAGCAGAGGCCAGAGGCAGCCGGGCGCGGGUCAAUUUUCUUUCUGUUUUAUUACCUUAGACUCCAGGAGGAUGGACUGAGCCUGGUGCCAUAGUGGAGUCUUUGCCUCUAGAAGCCCCGCAGAGGCUCCCGUGUAAACCCUUAAUUAGUUGCAUGAAUGCAGGGCCAAAGGGCUAGCUUUUGGGGGACUGGGGAGCAGGGUGGAAGGCCAGGUAGCCCCAGCCCCAAUUCUGCCCUGAAGGAGUAUGAGGUGAGGUCAGAGGCUGCCAGUGAGGGGGCUCACUGGUCAUUGACCGCCAUGUGGGAAGAAGGCCAUUUAGGAAGAAGGAGUGCAGGGUCCUUUGGAGGCCAUCUGGGUGAGGUGGAGGUGCCAACACCACCUUCCAGGCCCACCCCUCAGCUGCAUGAGCCGGGGGUGGGGAGGCGGGUAGCAGUCUUGCCAUACCUGGAAGACCGGCUUGGGCUAGAAACACUCCAGCCUGGGCACUCACAGAAAGCUUGGCAGUUACUCAUUGCCUGAUUUGAUUCAGGCCAGCCAGAUUGUUGUAACUUUUGGGUGACCCUGAUGAAGACAAAGCCAGGACUCGGCCUUUGUAUGGCAGACUCCCCGCUCCCGCGGGCGGGAGCCCUGCCUGCCUGGGGUACUCCGCCUAACUCAGAGGCUGCCUCACCCACCCGCCUGGUGGUAUUCUGCAGCCUGACAGAUUUGGGGUUUCAUUCCCCCCAUUGAACUGUGCCCAUUUUGGGGGGCUGUUUUCAGGCGGGGGUGCGUGGAGAGGGCACUCGAGGUUAACAAAGUCGGUGGCAGACAAAAGCUGGGAUUACCUGCCAGGAAUGAGGGUGCUGGGGAUUAGAGAACUACAUUAACAUCUGGUGGGGGCCUUCAAAUGUGCCAUGGCGAGUCACUUGAUUACACGUUAUGUUAUUUAGUUAAAUUUGUGAAAAUUAUGAGAUGCUCACCAACCCGGUGAUAAACUCGCUCCCUCGCUAUUGGCUGGCCUGGUCACAUGGCCGCCAACUUUAUUCAGUUGACAGCAAGUAGGAGGGCCCUAUGGAAGGAGAAAAAAAGACAACACGAGAAAAAUUAGUAUUUUCUACCUUCAGAAAUUAAUGGCCAUGAGUUCGUAUAUGGUGAACUCCAAGUAUGUGGACCCCAAGUUCCCUCCGUGCGAGGAAUAUUUGCAGGGCGGCUACCUAGGCGAGCAGGGCGCCGACUACUACGGCGGUGGCGUGCAGGGUGCAGACUUCCAGCCCCCGGGGCUCUACCCACGGCCCGACUUCGGUGAGCAGACCUUCGGAGGCGGCGGCCCUGGGCCCGGCUCCGCGCUGCCCACACGGGGUCACGGGCAAGAAGCCAGUGGCCCCGGCGGCCACUACGGAGCCCCAGGAGAGCCGUGCCCCGCGCCCCCCGCGCCCCCGCCCGCGCCCCUGCCCAGCGCCCGGGCCUGCAGCCAGCCGGGCGGCCCCAAGCAGCCGCCCCCCGGGACGGCACUCAAGCAGCCCGCCGUGGUCUACCCGUGGAUGAAGAAGGUGCACGUGAAUUCGGUGAACCCCAACUACACUGGCGGGGAGCCCAAGCGGUCCCGGACGGCCUACACCCGGCAGCAAGUCCUAGAACUGGAAAAGGAAUUUCAUUUUAACAGGUAUCUGACGCGGCGCCGUCGGAUUGAAAUUGCUCACACCCUGUGUCUGUCCGAGCGCCAGAUCAAGAUCUGGUUCCAGAACCGGAGGAUGAAGUGGAAAAAAGACCACAAGCUGCCCAACACCAAAGGCAGGUCCUCGUCCUCAUCCUCCUCUUCUUCCUCCUCCUGCUCUUCCUCAGCUGCUCCCGGCCAACAUUUGCAGCCUCUGGCCAAGGACCACCACACGGACCUGACGACCUUAUAGACGUGGGGACCCUGGGCCCAUUCCUCCCUGCGCUCCCGGCUGAGCCGAAGCUGCGGGGGCAGGCCGGGCUUGCUGUCACCUCCCUGGGCUCUAAGUUUCCAGGGAUUGUCUUUUGAAAUGUUAAUGGAGCCUGGAUGGCCCAGGGGGCAGCCCUCAACCCUGUGGUCCCAAUUGGACCCCAGCGUCCAUUUGGGCCCACCGGAGUGGGGCAGGAAAGAAGCAGUGCCUCCCCCCAACCACCGCCACCAAAGGGCAGGGAAGGAAAUGAGUUUCCAUCUGGGAGCGUACUCUGGAGAGACCUAGAUGUGGAAAGGAGCAGUGCCCAUUUGCUUUUAUUUGUUUCCAGUUUGUUCCCCCAAAUAUGAGCCAGAAGUGUUUGUUUUGUUGUUGUUGUUGUUGUUUUUAAAGCUGUGUUGGGGUCGUGACUGGGGAGGAGUGAAGUGUUUACUGAGGACAUUGCUCCUCAGACUCCCAUCUCACUUUGUCUAUUGCAGCCUUUUGUUGGGAGAUGACAUUGUCAGUCAGCCCCAUGGUGUCUGUUCACACAAGAUGCUUUUUUAAUAGAAUUGACCAAUGUUCUGCUGCCAUUGAUUAAAGUAUUAUUUAUACUAAUUGUUGCCUGUAGUUUUGAUGUAAUUCAUUGAUCUAUAUUUGAAAUAAUAAAAGGUGUAGCGAAAUCUC